AUUGAACGCUGGCGGCAUGCCUUACACAUGCAAGUCGAACGGCAGCACGGGAGCAAUCCUGGUGGCGAGUGGCGAACGGGUGAGUAAUAUAUCGGAACGUGCCCAGUCGUGGGGGAUAACGUAGCGAAAGCUACGCUAAUACCGCAUACGAUCUAUGGAUGAAAGCGGGGGAUCGCAAGACCUCGCGCGAUUGGAGCGGCCGAUAUCAGAUUAGGUAGUUGGUGAGGUAAAGGACUCGCCAAGCCGACGAUCUGUAGCUGGUCUGAGAGGACGACCAGCCACACUGGGACUGAGACACGGCCCCAGGACUCCUACGGGAGGCAGCAGUGGGGAAUUUUGGACAAUGGCGCAAGCCUGAUCC
rnacentral:rRNA from 1 species